GCGCGCGGUCGAUGAGCACCUGAUUGAUGGCCUGCUGCGCCAUCGCGCGGCCGUAGGGCACCUUGGCGGCGUCGAUCACCUCGACGCCCGGCGCG
rnacentral:tRNA from 1 species